UGGGGAAUUUUGGACAAUGGACGCAAGUCUGAUCCAGCCAUUCCGCGUGCAGGACGAAGGCCUUCGGGUUGUAAACUGCUUUUGUACGGAACGAAAAAGCUCUUAUUAAUACUAGGAGUCCAUGACGGUACCGUAAGAAUAAGCACCGGCUAACUACGUGCCAGCAGCCGCGGUAAUACGUAGGGUGCAAGCGUUAAUCGGAAUUACUGGGCGUAAAGCGUGCGCAGGCGGUUAUACAAGACAGGCGUGAAAUCCCCGGGCUUAACCUGGGAAUGGCGCCUGUGACUGUAUAGCUAGAGUGUGUCAGAGGGGGGUAGAAUUCCACGUGUAGCAGUGAAAUGCGUAGAGAUGAGGAGGAACACCAGUGGCGAAGGCGGCCACCUGGACAGUAACUGACGCUGAGGCGCGAAAGUGUGGGUAGCAAACAGG
rnacentral:rRNA from 1 species